rnacentral:rRNA from 1 species
AUGUGGGGCCUGCACAACCUGUUGCACGAUUUAGUGCCCGAAGAGAAAUCGAAGUUCGGCAAGCAGGAUCGCAAGUACCACAGCAAAAAACUACUUGACUUCCUGCAUAGAAAUGUCUCUGAAGACAUCAAGCCUGAAAUGAUCAAUGGAAAGAUUGCUUUAUUGGCGUCCGUCAUGCGACGUUGUGACGUGGCCAGCAAGGAGUACUCCGACAGCUUGCACCAGGUUGAUAAUGUUGUCGAGGAGAGAUCUGGCCUCAAGACUGACUGUUGGGACACUGUGACAUACGCGACAGCUCUAAUGACGUUGAUUGGAGAAUCUGUAGUCAUGCCUGAUGGGUUUCUGAAUCGCAGAUGUUCAAUUCUGCUGAAAAGGAUGCCAUACUUGAGGGGGUAG